UACGUAGGGGGCAAGCGUUGUCCGGAUUUAUUGGGCGUAAAGAGCUCGUAGGCGGUUUGUCGCGUCGGCCGUGAAAUCUCCACGCUUAACGUGGAGCGUGCGGUCGAUACGGGCAGACUUGAGUUCGGUAGGGGAGACUGGAAUUCCUGGUGUAGCGGUGAAAUGCGCAGAUAUCGAGAGGAACACCUGCGGCGAAGGCGGGUUGCUGGGCUGACACUGACGCUGAUGCGCGAAAGCUAGGGGAGCGAACGGG
rnacentral:rRNA from 1 species